UGGCAGUGGGUUUACCAAAAAUGAUG
rnacentral:piRNA from 1 species